rnacentral:rRNA from 1 species
GAUGAACGCUGGCGGCAGGCUUAACACAUGCAAGUCGAACGGAAGGGGGGUGCUUUUGUCUGGUUUUCGCGGCGGGAGGGGGUGAAUAGCCCGUGAAUCUCCCUGGCUGGGGGGGGUAAUGACUGGAAAAGGGUGGUGCUAACGCCUAAUAGCUGCGGGAGAUAGAGGGGGGGCUUUGGAACGUAUCGGCUGAGGUGGGUCUAGGUCGGGCUGGUUAGUUGGUGGGGUAAAGGGCUACCAAGGCGGGGAUUCGUAACUGGUCUGAGAGGAUGAUCAGUCACACAGGAACUGGGACACGGUCCAGACUCCUACGGGAGGCAGCAGUGGGGAAUAUUGGACAAUGGGCGAAAGCCUGAUCCAGCCAUGCCGAGUGUGUGAAGAAGGUCUUCGGAUUGUAAAGCACUUUAAGUUGGGAGGAAGGGCAGUAAGUUAAUACCUUGCUGUUUUGACGUUACCAACAGAAUAAGCACCGGCUAACUUCGUG